CAAACUAACCUUGAAUAAAAUAAUCCUUUUACCUGCUAAGUAUUAAAGUUACAUUUUUACCCUCUAUUAAUCAACGGUUAAGAUCUUUUUAAUUUUUUUUUAAAAAAAAGUACCGAAUCAUUUCUCAUAUUUAAAAAACCGAUAUCUUGCCGAUUUCAUGAAAUCAAAAGCUUUGCGGUACUGACCGUCCCUAGCGUAAGUGGCAAAAAGGCUUGGUGGUUGGUACUCGAGACCCAAAUUCGAAUCCUAGUUGAUUCAUAUUUUCAGCUGAGUUUAUUUUUAAAUGAAAUAAACGAAACGGGUAGCGAGCUUUGCCGUAGAGUUCCAAAGAAUCGUCAUUUACAUAAUAAGUUAGAAUUAUUAAAGUUUAAUAGUAAAUUGUAA
rnacentral:lncRNA from 1 species